AUUGCAACUCCUUCGGUAAUUUGAUUGGAAGGGCGUCUUAGCUGGAAACGGCUAAGAGGAUGACUGGGUGAAUUGCUGGGAAGCCCUAAAGCUUUCCUUGCCACAACGAAGCUGGAAACGGCAGGCGUGACGGCGUGAAAAAAGGAAAGAUGGAACAAUGGGCAAUCAGCAGCCAAGCUCCUGUGAGGAAACUCUGGAGAAGGUUCAACGACUAGGACAUACCACCUAAGGCGAGGGCUAUGGUGAUGAAGUCUGUAGGGAAAUUCCCGAAGUGCCCAGCCCUUCGCUAGCCAAAUGGCUAGAAAGGUGAAGAGAUAGUCUACACAACGAUCGAAAGACGUUG
rfam:Anoxybacillus sp. BCO1 LR68_contig000014, whole genome shotgun sequence.